rnacentral:rRNA from 1 species
AACGAACGCUGGCGGCAGGCCUAACACAUGCAAGUCGAACGAGAAGCCACCUUCGGGUGGUGGACAGUGGCAGACGGGUGAGUAACGCGUGGGAACGUGCCUUUCGGUUCGGGAUAACCCAGGGAAACUUGGGCUAAUACCGGAUACGCCCUCCGGGGGAAAGAUUCAUUGCCGAAAGAUCGGCCCGCGUCGGAUUAGCUAGUUGGUGGGGUAAAAGCCUACCAAGGCGACGAUCCGUAGCUGGUCUGAGAGGAUGACCAGCCACACUGGGACUGAGACACGGCCCAGACUCCUACGGGAGGCAGCAGUGGGGAAUAUUGGACAAUGGGCGCAAGCCUGAUCCAGCCAUGCCGCGUGGGUGAAGAAGGCCC